rnacentral:lncRNA from 1 species
CUUCGCCUCAUUUUACAGACGUGGAAACAGGCUCAUCAAGUGCUCUGUAAUUGUAAAACCUGGGAUAACAAAGGAGCAAAACGCAAUUUAGAGAAUCUAUUUGCUGAUCUCCAGUCUAGAGUGUUACUGAUGGGUUUCUGACACAGAAAUAUCUGGCUGAGAUGGUCCAACAUACCGGGAAACUCAUUCUCUCCUAUGAGAAAGUCAUAUUCUCUGAUAGCAUCUUUGGUCACCUGAAACCUAGUGUCCAU